rnacentral:rRNA from 1 species
UACGUAGGUGGCAAGCGUUGUCCGGAUUUACUGGGCGUAAAGAGCGCGCAGGCGGUCGUUCAAGUCGCGUGUGAAAGCCCCCGGCUCAACUGGGGAGGGUCACGCGAUACUGAUCGACUCGAAGGCAGGAGAGGGAAGUGGAAUUCCCGGUGUAGUGGUGAAAUGCGUAGAUAUCGGGAGGAACACCAGUGGCGAAGGCGGCGACCUGGGCCAAUAUUGACGCUGAGGUGCGAAAGCGUGGGGAGCAAACAGG